GCGAGUCUACUAGGCAGAUGUAUGCCGCAACAGUCACACUUAUCAAUGGAAUGGAAUCAAUGGUGUCUUCUUUAUCUGACUCUCAAUUAAGGGAGAAGACAGCUGCUCUGCAAGAGCGGGCUCGCCGUGGAGAUUCCUUGGACUCCCUUUUACCGGAAGCAUUUGCUAUAGUCAGAGAGGCUUCAAAAAGGGUUCUGGGCCUUCGUCCUUUUGACGUGCAACUUAUAGGUGGUAUGGUUCUACAUAAGGGAGAAAUAGCUGAAAUGAGGACUGGUGAAGGAAAGACUCUUGUUGCCAUAUUACCUGCUUAUUUGAACGCGUUGACCGGAAAAGGAGUUCAUGUGGUAACAGUCAAUGACUACUUGGCACGCCGAGAUUGUGAAUGGGUUGGUCAA
rnacentral:misc_RNA from 1 species